CACAAACAAAAGAUGAUAGCAAGGAUGGGCAAGAAGUUGAUUUGCGUUGCUCUCCUAUCGUUUCUUCUCCUCAGCCUUGUAUCCAAUUCUCACUCUAUUGAUCAAUCAAAGACUUGCCCACAAGAAUUUCGUUCAACAGGAACAUGUGGAGGGUGGAUUGGAAUCUCAGAAUGCUACACUGAAUCAAUGGCAAGGAAUGGAAAUAUCCCACCAAAGGGCUGCAAAUGCAUUCCCCAUGGUGCCAACUCUCGCAUUUGCCGUUGCAAUGUUGUCUGUCACUAAAUCUCCAAUGCUGUUCUUACAUUUCGAGUGCUUGUAAUACCAAUCAGUUUUAAAUAAAAUGGGGUUGGAUUUAUGAA